GGGUCAGUAGGUUGGUCGUGCCACCGGUACGUACUGGUCUCACUGAUUCCUCCUUCCUGAAGAACCGUAAUGCCAUUAAUUUGGUGUUGCGGGGGAACAGGACUGUUACUUUGAAAAAACUAGAGUGUUUAAAGCAAGCUAACGCUUGAAUACAUUUGCAUGGAAUAAUGAAAUAGGACGAUCGAUCCUAUUUUGUUGGUUUCUAGGAUUGACGUA
rnacentral:rRNA from 1 species